ACGACCACAGUACGUUAAAAUGCCGGUUCACUUACGAUCACCGAAGUUAAGCAAUGUUGAGGCUGGUCAGUACCUAGAUAAGUGGCCGCUUGGUAAGAAUGGGUACUGUA